CUACUUAACUAAGCCCUACGACACAACACAACGCCGAACGGGCAAAGUGAGGCUUACAACAGCAACAAGGCGACGCCGAUAAAUUUCUUGAUUUUCUCGAUUCAACCUAUUUCACAUCUGGUAUCACGACGCAAUGUUUACUGUGAUUCCAAAUUGAUACGUGGCUGAUCUAGUGUGUGUCAGAGAGAUGACUAACUGCUGCUUGUAAACUUGUGUCAGAUCUGGCAAAGUUGUACGCUGAGUAGAACAGAUCUAUUAUCAGCUCCUUCAAUCUGUCUUUGUAGCUUUUACUUUUGUUUCCUAUUUUUGUUCGACUAUCAAAGCUGUGUCAUAUAAGAGAGUUUGAAGAGCUUAAAUAACAUUUCAAGCCAGAGUGUUUGCAACCAACAACUUUGGUGCAGAUUUUCAUUGGAAUGGACAGUCCAUGGUUGAUUUUAAGUGAUUGGUUGUUGAAUCUGGGCAAGGAAGCCAUGGGUUUUUGAAGAUUGUAGCAAUGCUUUCUCUUUACAAACAUGAAAGUUUGGUUUAUCUUUUUAGGAUUUUAAAGUUUUGUGAUGCAGAGAUCGUUGUCCAUGAAUACAUAUCUCAGAGAAGUCCACACUUGCAUGUCACUAGCAAUGAUCUAGUGUGGACUCAAAGCUUGAAGAUAUGCAUUGGGAUGGCUUAUUGAGAUGGCUUGUGGGUUAGCCUACCUUCAUAAAUUUGUUAAAACGGUGGAUUAAAAUAUUUUACCGUGAUAUUAAAAGUUCCAACAUCUUGUUAGAUGAAAAUUGGAAUGCCAAGAUCGCAGAUUACAGCAACCAACAACUUUGCUGUAGCGAUAUUGCACGUGGAUUGGUCAGAAUGUAUGCAUCUAAUUGUGUAUGAGUAUGCAUCUAAAAGAAGUCUAAAUUUGCAUCUCGAUAGCAAAUGUUCUAGUUUGGAAUCAACAUCCGAAGAUAGUUUGGAAUCAACAUCCGAAGAUAGUCAUAGAGAUACCUAUUGAAUUAGUUUAUCUUUAUAAUUUUGUAUACAGUUUGACUUAAAGUAUUGUAUUAUGAUAUCAAAAGCUCCAACAUUCUAUUAGAUAAAAAUUGGAAAACGAAAAUCUAUAGAGUUUGGUUUGUCCAAACUUAUUAAUGCUAAUAAGUUAACAUUUUUUUUUUUAUCAUUUUCUCUGUGGGUGCUAUUGGAUAUCAAGAUUCAUUGUAUGCGAUACGAAAUACUAGUUUAUAGCAAGAACGUCUGAUGUUUGCUAUUUUGGUAUGA